CAGUAGCCGCGGUAAUACGAAGGGGGCUAGCGUUGCUCGGAAUUACUGGGCGUAGGGAGCGUAGGCGGAUCGUUUAGUCAGGGGUGAAAUCCCGGGGCUCAACCUCGGAACUGCCUUUGAUACUGGCGAUCUUGAGUAUGGGAGAGGUGCGUGGAACUCCGAGUGUAGAGGUGAAAUUCGUAGAUAUUCGGAAGAACACCAGUGGCGAAGGCGACACACUGGCCCAUUACUGACGCUGAGGCUCGAAAGCGUGGGGAGCAAACAGGAUUAGAUACCCCCGUAGUCCCUGUCUCUUAUACAC
rnacentral:rRNA from 1 species